UACAGAGGUCUCAAGCGUUGUUCGGAUUCAUUGGGCGUAAAGGGUGCGUAGGUGGCGCCAUAAGUCGGGUGUGAAAUUUCGGAGCUUAACUCCGAAACUGCAUUCGAUACUGUGGUGCUUGAGGACUGGAGAGGAGACUGGAAUUCAUGGUGUAGCAGUGAAAUGCGUAGAGAUCAUGAGGAAGACCAGUGGCGAAGGCGGGUCUCUGGACAGUUCCUGACGCUGAGGCACGAAGGUCAGGGGAGCAAACGGG
rnacentral:rRNA from 1 species